rnacentral:rRNA from 1 species
GAUGAACGCUAGCUACAGGCUUAACACAUGCAAGUCGAGGGGCAGCAUGGACAUAGCUUGCUAUGUUUGAUGGCGACCGGCGCACGGGUGCGUAACACGUAUCCAAUCUGCCCGUUACUCGGGGAUAGCCUUCUGAAAGGAAGAUUAAUACCCGAUGGCAUGUAUUUCCGGCAUCGGAGAUACAUUAAAGAUUUAUCGGUAACGGAUGAGGAUGCGUACGAUUAGCUUGUUGGCGGGGUAACGGCCCACCAAGGCGACGAUCGUUAGGGGUUCUGAGAGGAAGGUCCCCCACACUGGAACUGAGACACGGUCCAGACUCCUACGGGAGGCAGCAGUGAGGAAUAUUGGUCAAUGGUCGGAAGACUGAACCAGCCAAGUAGCGUGAAGGAUGAAGGUUCUAUGGAUUGUAAACUUCUUUUAUACGGGAAUAAAACCACCUACGUGUAGGUGCUUGUAUGUACCGUAUGAAUAAGCAUCGGCUAACUCCGUGCCAGCAGCCG